rnacentral:rRNA from 1 species
AUAACUUAACACAUGCAAGUCGAGGGGUAACAGGCCGUAGCAAUAUCUGUGCUGACGACCGGCGGGUGGGUGAGUAACGCGUAUGCAAUNUACCUUUUACCCGGGGAUAUGCCCAUGGAAACGUGGAUUAAUACCCGAUGCAUUUCUUUUGUGGCCUCAUGAAGGGAAUAAAGAUUUAUCGGUAAGAGAUGAGCAUGCGUUCCAUUAGGAAGUUGGUAAGGUAACGGCUUACCAAUCCGAUGAUGGAUAGGGGUUCUGAGAGGAAGGUCCCCCACACUGGAAUUGAGAAACGGUCCAGACUCCUACGGGAGGCAGCAGUGAGGAAUAUUGCGUCAAUGGUCGUAAGACUGAACCAGCCAAGUUCGCGCGAAGCGUAACUGCCCUAUGGGUUUUCAACUUCUUUUGUCAGGGAAGAAUAAGGAGGAUUCAAUUCUCCGAUGCCGGUACCUGACCGAAUAAGGAUCGGCUAACUCCGUGCCAGCAGCCGCGGUAAUACGGAGGAUCCGAGCGUUAUCCGGAUUUAUUGGGUUUAAAGGGUGCUUAAGCGGCAAAUUAAGUUAGUGGUUAAAUAGUUCGGCUCAACCGGAUUUCGCCAUUAAAACUGAUAUGCUAGAGAUUAAACGAGGUAGGCGGAAUAAGUUAAGUAGCGGUGAAAUGCAUAGAUAUAACUUAGAACUCCGAUAGCGAAGGCAGCUUACCAGGCUAUAUCUGACGCUGAAUCACGAGAGCGUGGGUAUCGAACAGGAUUAGAUACCCUGGUAGUCCACGCCGUANAACGAUGCUUACCGGCUCUAUGCGAUAAGACGGUAUGGGGCUAAAUAGAAAUAAUUAAGUGAGCCACCUGGGGNGUACGUCGGCAACGAUGAAACUCAAAGGAAUUGAC